rnacentral:lncRNA from 1 species
UGUCCUGGGAAGCUUGUGGGCCAAGAGUGCACCUCUGAGGACCCUUAAGAAAGAACCCUGCCAGAAAGAUUCCCUGCUAGGGGAAGCCCCAGGAGAGGGAGAGAGAGGUCAGGCCAGGGACACCUCAAGUUGUCAGGGGCAAGGCCACAGAGGAGGAGUGGUGCCAUGCAGAGUGUCACACAGGGAGGGGGGCGCACCAAGGCCUCUUUGCCCUUUACAGUAACACCUCUCCUCCUAGAAGUAAGGGCCCCCUCCUCACCCAGGGAACUUUCUGGGAUCAAGCCUUUGGGGUAGGGACAGGAGAUGCUGCCAACAGGAUGAGAAAUCGAAGCUUUGAGUUAGACUGAGUUUAACUAGUUGAUGGGCCAGCAGUGGGAGGGAGGGGCCAGAGCCGGGCUGUGAGAACAAAGCCCUGGUUUCCUGCUUUCUCCCACUGGUCUGCAUCCAAUUUGCAGGCUAUGACUUUAAAUAAGGUCUCUGUUCCCUCAGGCUAUGUUGGGGGAGGUCUUCACAGGAAGGUCCCAUUCCUUUGGAUAGUUUUGUGGCAGGUACAGUUUGGGCCUAGAGGCAACACUGGUCUAUCUGUACUUGGGAGGCAUGAGGGUCAGUCCUGACCCUGCAUGUUGGUGAUCUGACCCAUCUCUUCUCCUCCCCUCUGGACUUAAGAGUGCCAUCUUAUUCACUUUGUGACCAUACAGUUUCCACUAGCCCUCAUUCAAUUCUUCUUGUUCAGAGAAUACUGUGACUCCUGAAGGAGGACCCCAAGACCUGGGUAGCCUCUCUUUGAAGAUACACUUCUGAUCCCACAAGAGUGGGAGACACGUGGACUGGGGUUGCAGGUUAGUGGAAGAGCACUUGCCUAGCAUGUGUGAGGUACUGGGUUUGAUUCUCAGCACCACAUAUAGAUAAAUAAAAUAAAGGUCCAUUGACAACUAAAAAAUAUUUUUUAAAAUAAAAUAAGAGUGGGAGGUAUGUGCUGCAGCUCCCUCUCAAGGAACUGGGAAAGUCUAAAGGUCUCAGCAGAAGUCCAUGCAACAUACUCUGUACCCAAGUACACUUGUCAGCUUCCCUGAGUUUGUGAAAAGACACCCUUAGCCAUCUUGGCAGGACCUGCAGCACCAUUUCAAGAGAGGACUGAUGAGAUGUCACUUGCCCCACUUCUCUGUGGCUCCACAUAUGGGGUGAACAGGAUAGACCACUAUUCCUCAACCUACCAGGCCACCCUGAGCCCCCACACCCCGCACCAGUUCAGUGCCCUCUAGUUUCCAGGGCACCAUAAACACCUCAAAGGUGUGUUCCUAUCAGUGUUUCUUUGGUUCACUCAGGGUAUCUAUGGAACUUUCAACAAGGUGUAGGUCUGAGGGUGGUCCAGAGGUCCAGCAAUCAUUGAUAGGUAACCUCCCUUCAAAAAGCUAAGGCUGGAUGGGGCCUGAGGCAUACAAAGUCAGCAAUUCAAAUGCCUAGACACAGAGGGCAUAGGUAAGGACCCUGAACUCCUUGGGGGAAGGAGGAGGGGAAGCUCAGGCAGGCAAAUUCUGUCCCCAGGCCCUUCAGGGCAUCGCAGGUAGCACAGUGACCUAAUACUUGCUAAGUAUGUGCAUUUCCCCAUUUCUCAGAAAACUGAGACCCUGAGAAGUGACUUGUUCAGGACACCUCAUGUAUGUGAUAAUGAAGGUCCAAAUUAAUCCCUCUGAGGCUGAACCAAACACUCCUUCCACAUGGGCUUCACCCUGUGGGGCCAUCAUGCAACAGGGCCACAGCAGCCUCCCUCCAGCCUCCCUCCUGCUGAGACCCAUGCCUCAGCCCCUGAAUGCCACAUGAGCCAUGAGCCUCACUAGGGCCUCAGCUUGACAGGGGACCUAAACUCACCUGCCAGCAGGCUCCAGAGGGCCUGUGUUCUAUCUGGGAACCCACAGAACACAGGGACAGGAGGCUUCCAAGGCCUAGGAGCAGAUCCUCCCAACCUGAGUCUGAGGCCUCCUGGGCCCAUGUGGCACAGCUCAGACAAAGAGGGUUGUGCCCCCAGAGGAAUGAAUCCAUGAUUAGUGAUAGCUUGGGGGUUCCUUUAUGCAGAAACUUGUUCCACAGUUCACUGUCCAGUAGCACUGUAUGCAUUUGUGUGUGUGUGUGUGUGCAUGUGCGCACGUGCAUGUGUGAACUAAAUAAAAGGUGCAGGAAGUCUGAUCUUAGCCAGCAGGCCCCCCAGAUCCUAGAUACUGUUUCUCCUGGAGACUGGGUUCACCCAUGGGCAAAGGAGAAGGGACCAGGCCUUGUUCCUCCCCUGGGGGAGGUCUUUAGAGACACCCCCUUCUCAGUAGCUCAGGUGCCUGGAUGUCAUCAGUAGGGUCAGCUUCUGGAGUCCACAAGGAUGGGUGAUUCCCCAAGCUGUGGUGACUAGGGUCUUCCAGACAGCGUCUAGCCAUCCUUACAACUGGCAGAACAAUUUCCUUGGUUUCCAACAACUUGAAAACCACAUGUGAUUUUCCACAGUCCCGGCUCUGCAGGCCUGGCUGCUGAGUGAGCAGAGUCCAUGCUGAAUUCCUUCCACUCACCGCAGGGCAGACAGCAGGCCCAGCUGUGGGGAGAUUCACUGGGAUGGGGGUCACCACAGCAAGGCAGGGGCGGACUUCCAGCACUGAUGAGUAAUUCUGCAGUCAGUAAAUCUGGGAAGAGGGCAUGUGACCACUUAAUGUAACAAUCAGCCCAGUGUUAAGUUACAAAGGAGGAGGCAUUCUUCAAAACAAGGUUGAGUGGCAAAAAUAGUUUAAUCCCCACUUCACAUCUUCAUCAAAAUUAACUCCAGAGGAUGGAAGAUAUCAAGGUUAGGGGAAAAAACCUCAAAUGUAGUAAAAGAAAAUAUGAGUCCGUGUUUAUAUUCUUGGUGGGGGAAGUUAUCUAAGGAAGGAUAGAGAAUUUUGAUUUCAUAAAAUUUUUGCCUUCUGUAUAAUAAAAAUACUCUGAAGAUAAAAUUUAAAAGCAGGGCUCGGGUCAUAGCUGUGGUAGAAUGUUUGCCUGGCAUGUGUGGGGCACUGGGUUCAAUUCUCAGCACCACAUAUGAAUAAAUAAAGGUCCAUCGACAACUACAAAAAAAUUUUUUUUUAAUUUUAAAAGCAAACAAAACACUGGAAAAGAAUCUGUAAUCCUUCCAUCUGAAAUAGCCUCUUGUAGCCAGGCACAAUGGCACAGACCUAUAAUCCCAGAGGCUCGGGAGGCUGAGGCAGAAAGCUCACUAGUUCAAAGCCCCCUCAGCUAAGCAACUCAGUGAGAUUCUAUCUCUAAAUAAAAUACAAAAUAGCAGGGCUGGGGUUGUGGCUCAGUGGUAGAGUGCUUGCCUCGUGUGUGUGUAUGUGUGACUGGGUUCAAUCCUCAGUACCACAUAAAAAUAAAUAAAUAAAAUAAAGGUAUUGUAUCCAUCUACAACUAAAAAAAAUUUUUUUUAAAAUGGUACAAAGAUUCACAGGUAAAAAUCCAGACACUUAUGCCUUGAUAAAGGAAAGCUGCUAAAUAAACUUCUUUAUAUUUUUUAAAACUAAUUUGACUAUAUUGUUCCUUUAAAAAGUGAUCUAGAGUGCUGCUUGCCUGGCAUGCAUGAGGCCCUGUGUUCUAUGCUCAGCAUUUCAAAAAGAAAAAAAAGUGAGCCAAGACUCAGUGGAAUACUGUGUGCUUAGCAUGCAUGAGGCCUUGGGUUCAAUCCCCAGCACCAAAAAAUAUGUAUAAAUAAAUAAGCUCACAAAAGGAGAAACAUAAAUGAGUAGGAAACAUGCAAAUGUUCUACCUCACUAAAAGUUGUAAAAGUUCAAAUUCAAAUGUACCCAAUACUGCUUUUUCCUUAAUUCUCAGUUAAAAAUCUCUCAAUAUAAGCAGUAAUGGGAGAUUACUGUCUGAGUACUACUAGUAACAGGGACCUUCACACUAUUUGGGUCAUCUUAUUCAAGGUGAUUUGAUUGAAAAGAGCAGAAGCCCUACAAAGCAGCUGAACCCCAAUCAGCCAUCUUGCUAAGUGACAGAAAAUCCGAUGUAAUAAUGACUAAAAUAAGGUAGAAACAUAUUUCUUGCUCACGUAACUAAAUUGAGGCAAGUAGUCUGAAGCUGGUAUGGUAGCCUAACAACCACCAGAGAUUCUAGCUCCUUCCAUUUUGUUGUUCCCCUAAGCUCCACAGAGAGCUUCUUUCUCAAGAGUACAAAAUAGCUAUUUGAGACCCAGCCAUCAUUGCAUCAUCCUAGCCAGCAGAAAGAAGGGAAGGGAAUAAUAUUAAUGUUCAACAUCUUCCUCUACAAACACUUUCUAGAAGCUCACACAAAACUCCAUGUUCACUCCGUUGGCCUUAGCCACAACUCUGUCACAGGCCAUGCCCAGCUACAAAGAAAGCUAGGAAGUAUGGUCUUUUUCUGAUGUUCUGGGCUCACUAAAUGUCAGGUGUUCUAUCCCUAAAGAAGGAGACAGAUACUGAGGAAUAAUUAACAGUCUUAGUUACAUAUGGUAUUCUCUUGCUUUUGUGUCUAGUAAGAGUGCUAAAAUCUUAGACCAGUGUAAAAAAAAAAGUCAAUAUUUGGAAGAGGAAACUGUGAAAGCUGAAAUCCCAGGAAAGUGUAAGAAUAAGAAAUCAAUGGUGGCAUUAGCAAGUUUGUAGCCAGUUUCUGAGUGAGGUAUUCAUAUCCUUGCCUGUUUGUCUGCAGACUCAGCCCGUAGCUCAGCCAAGGAAAGCAAGAAACAGGCACCAGCUUCAGGAAGGGAGGGGAUCCUAAAAGGCACCCAUCCCAUUUCCACAGCUCCUGCUGUUAGUGAGGGUGCCAGAAGGGCUGGGGAUGUAGUUCAGGGGUAGAGUAUUUGCCUAGAAUGCAUGAGGACCCUGGUUAAGUUUCCAGCACCACAAAAGAGAGAGAGAGAGAGAGAGAGAGAGAGGUGGGGAGCAGAAUGCCCCCCUAGUCUCUAGCUAUGACCUCUUCUAACAGCCACGCUUCUCCAAGGAGUUGUUUGCACUUGAAGUUUCCAAUUCCUCAGCCCCAGGCAUCUGUUCUUGCCCCUGGCAUCUGGACUCAGACCCAGGGACCACACAGGCAACCAGUCCUGCCCAGCCACUGCAGGCUUUCUUUGACAGGGUUAAGUCUAGGAUUGCCCCGUUUUUCUCCUCUCCCACCCCCAAGGUCAGCUCCUUUUUUCCUUAUGAAAAACCAGCCUCUACCUCAGAGCAAAGCCUGCCCAAAUAGGUCCCCAACUGAGGGAACUAUGAUUGGUUCCCAAGUUUCCAGACAAAGGGGGGAAUGAAAAACCAGCCUCUACCUCAGAGCAAAGCCUGUCCAAGGAAGGGACAUGACCUUUGUCCUUGGAAAGACCCACAGAGCUCUCCUAGGCACAUUCCCACCCUGCUAAGUUGUUUAUCUACAAAUAACAGGAGAGACCUGCUGCGCCAGGUGUCCCUGACUCAGUGGGGAUCCAUAGUAACCCCCUAGCAGCCACCAAUCAGCAUGAGACAGGGAAAUACCUGGGAUGCCAGAUGACCCUCCCAGUAGUUUAUGGUGGUUGAUAACAUGUUGGGAAACCAUGUAGUUCAGCACGUACACCCGUCUUGGCUUAAACCAAUCAGUUCAAAUGAAUCCCCCUCUUGUAGUAACCAAUCACCCCUACCCAACUUAUUCCUGUCAGUGAAUGUGCUAAUCAUGUCUUAGAGUUGUUAUUUGAUUUUCCCGUGGUGUAUGAUGAUUUGCUAAGAGAUGCUAUGAUGUAUGUGGGGGUCCCUGCCUUCUCCAAAGAAUGUAUAAAACAGCUGCAAACCCUGGGCUCGGGGCCUCUCAGCGUCACCAGUUGCUGUGUGUGCGCGGAGGACCCAGCUAGCUCGCAAUAAAC